CCGCGGGAAACGUAGCGGGUAAGUUCCCAGCGACGUCGCGAGAUGGCAUCAUCUUGCGACCAAAGGUGUGAUUCCGCUCUAGGACGGGCCUUCGUGGUAUUAGGUAGUUGGUGAGGUAACGGCUCACCAAGCCGACGAUGCCUACCGGGUGUGAGAGCAUGACCCGGCACACUGGAACUGAGACACUGUCCAGACACCUACGGGUGGCUGCAGUCGAGAAUCUUCGGCAAUGGGCGAAAGCCUGACCGAGCGACGCCGCGUGAGGGAAGAAGGCCUUCGGGUUGUAAACCUCUUUCGUAGAGGAGGAAGGGGCCGUGCAGAGCGGUCUUUGACCUAUUCUAGGAAGAAGCUUGGGCUAAGUUCGUG
rnacentral:rRNA from 1 species